CCAAACCCAAUAAUCCUAUCCUCUUCUCUUCCUCAUUCAUGUGUGAGAACUGAGAACACACACACCUUUCCUCUCUUUUGUUUCCACGACAAGCACAACUCACCACCAACCCUUUUUCUGCGAAAUUCCCCCAAAUCCGCCGGAUUUCAAGCUUAUCCAGCUCCCUUAAAUCAAUCUGAGAACAGGUAACCCCAUCCCUUUGUGAAAUUUUGAAUUUAAACAACAUCUUGGAGAAGAUUUUCCUCUCUCAAACGGCUAUUUUGAAAUUCAAGAACUAUUUUCGGCUAUUCCAUUGAAAAAGCGGGGAAUUGGGAGAGAAGUUGAGAAAUUUCUGACUUCGUUACUUUCUUUGCUCUUUUUUGCUCUUUUCCGGCUUUUGAGACACUCCCGAAUUUUUGUUGUGUUUUUUAAUUAAUCACACUCGUAAUCGCUGUGGAAGUUCAUUUUCAACGACUAGUAAUCCCAUUUCCUGCUCCAAAGAAGUCCGCUGAACUCUUGGCCUUUCUUCGCAUUUUGUUGGUUCAAUAUGUCAUUCAAGCAUCGAGUCAUCCCCUUUCUCUCCAAAAAGCCAAAAUGAGAGCUUUGGUUAAAGCCUCGACAAUCACCGGGCGGCAGCAAUAGUAGCUCGAAAGAGCAGGAAUUGGGUCUAGUGGUCUAACUCUCAACUCCUCUUAUUUGUGUGCUAGUGUAUAUUGUAUUAUGAAUUUGUGUUAAAGCGACUAACGCUUUUACUCCUGUUUUCUUUGCUCAACUUAGAUGAAUCCCCAAAGGAAUCGAUUUAACAUCUAAUGAUUUUCUUAA